CCAAACUUGGUCAUUUAGAGGAAGUAAAAGUCGUAACAAGGUUUCCGUAGGUGAACCUGCGGAAGGAUCAUUCAUAAUAAAAGUGAAAAAAUUUAUGGCACUUUUAAAAUAAAUCCAUAUCCACCUUGUGUGCAAUGUUUUCUUUUUUUUAUCAACUCUUUUUUUAAAAAUAUUUAAUUAUUCUGAAAAUUAAACGAUUUAUUCUGAAUUUACUUAAUUCAAAAUAUAACUUUCAACAACGGAUCUCUUGGCUCUCGCAUCGAUGAAGAACGCAGC
rnacentral:misc_RNA from 1 species